rnacentral:tRNA from 1 species
GGGCAUGUGGCGGAACUGGUAUACGCGCACGGUUCAGAACCGUGUUCCGAAAGGAUUGGGAGUUCGAGUCUCCCCAUGCCCACAA